CCAGACUCCUACGGGAGGCAGCAGUGGGGAAUAUUGGACAAUGGGCCGAGAGUCUGAUCCAGCAAUUCUGUGUGCACGAUGAAGUUUUUCGGAAUGUAAAGUGCUUUCAGUUGGGAAGAAAGAAAUGACGGUACCAACAGAAGAAGUGACGGCUAAAUACGUGCCAGCAGCCGCGGUAAUACGUAUGUCACGAGCGUUAUCCGGAUUUAUUGGGCGUAAAGCGCGUCUAGGUGGUUAUAUAAGUCUGAUGUGAAAAUGCAGGGCUCAACUCUGUAUUGCGUUGGAAACUGUAUAACUAGAGUACUGGAGAGGUAAGCGGAACUACAAGUGUAGAGGUGAAAUUCGUAGAUAUUUGUAGGAAUGCCGAUGGGGAAGCCAGCUUACUGGACAGAUACUGACGCUGAAGCGCGAAAGCGUGGGUAGCAAACAGGAUUAGAUACCCUGGUAGUCCACGCUGUAAACGAUGAUUACUAGGUGUUGGGGGUCGAACCUCAGCGCCCAAGCAAACGCGAUAAGUAAUCCGCCUGGGGAGUACGUACGCAAGUAUGAAACUCAAAGGAAUUGACGGGGGCCCGCACAAG
rnacentral:rRNA from 1 species